AAGACCUUGCGCUUUUGGAGCGGCCGAUGCCUGAUUAGCUUGUUGGUAAGGUAAAAGCUUACCAAGGCUUCGAUCAGUAGCUGGUCUGAGAGGACGACCAGCCACACUGGGACUGAGACACGGCCCAGACUCCUACGGGAGGCAGCAGUGGGGAAUUUUGGACAAUGGGGGCAACCCUGAUCCAGCCAUGCCGCGUGAGUGAAGAAGGCCUUCGGGUUGUAAAGCUCUUUCAGCCGGAACGAAACGGUUACGGUUAAUACCCGUGACUACUGACGGUACCGGAAGAAGAAGCACCGGCUAACUACGUGCCAGCAGCCGCGGUAAUACGUAGGGUGCGAGCGUUAAUCGGAAUUACUGGGCGUAAAGGGUGCGCAGGCGGUUUUGUAAGUCAGAUGUGAAAUCCCCGGGCUUAACCUGGGAACU
rnacentral:rRNA from 1 species